AUUAUUUUGGCAGAUUAGUGCGGUAAAUUUAGAAUUUAUAAAAAUAUUAGUAAUUUAAAUAAUA
rnacentral:tRNA from 1 species